GAUGAACGCUGGCGGCGUGCCUAAUACAUGCAAGUCGAGCGAACGGACGAGAAGCUUGCUUCUCUGAUGUUAGCGGCGGACGGGUGAGUAACACGUGGAUAACCUACCUAUAAGACUGGGAUAACUUCGGGAAACCGGAGCUAAUACCGGAUAAUAUUUUGAACCGCAUGGUUCAAAAGUGAAAGACGGUCUUGCUGUCACUUAUAGAUGGAUCCGCGCUGCAUUAGCUAGUUGGUAAGGUAACGGCUUACCAAGGCAACGAUGCAUAGCCGACCUGAGAGGGUGAUCGACCACACUGGAACUGAGACACGGUCCAGACUCCUACGGGAGGCAGCAGUAGGGAAUCUUCCGCAAUGGGCGAAAGCCUGACGGAGCAACGCCGCGUGAGUGAUGAAGGCCUUCGGAUCGUAAAACUCUGUUAUUAGGGAAGAACAUAUGUGUAAGUAACUGUGCACAUCUUGACGGUACCUAAUCAGAAAGCCACGGCUAACUACGUG
rnacentral:rRNA from 1 species